rnacentral:rRNA from 1 species
GACAGAGGGUGCAAACGUUGUUCGGAAUUACUGGGCGUAAAGCGCGUGUAGGCGGCUCUGCAAGUCGGAUGUGAAAGCCCUCGGCUCAACCGGGGAAGUGCACCCGAAACUGCAAAGCUAGAGUCUCGGAGAGGAUCGUGGAAUUCUCGGUGUAGAGGUGAAAUUCGUAGAUAUCGAGAGGAACACCGGUGGCGAAGGCGGCGAGCUGGACGAGGACUGACGCUGAGACGCGAAAGCGUGGGGAGCAAACAGG